UGGCGAACGGGUGAGUAACACGUGGGCAACCUGCCCAAAAGAGGGGGAUAACACUUGGAAACAGGUGCUAAUACCGCAUAACCAUAGUUACCGCAUGGUAACUAUGUAAAAGGUGGCUAUGCUACCGCUUUUGGAUGGGCCCGCGGCGCAUUAGCUAGUUGGUGGGGUAAAGGCUUACCAAGGCAAUGAUGCGUAGCCGAACUGAGAGGUUGAUCGGCCACAUUGGGACUGAGACACGGCCCAAACUCCUACGGGAGGCAGCAGUAGGGAAUCUUCCACAAUGGGCGAAAGCCUGAUGGAGCAACGCCGCGUGGGUGAAGAAGGUCUUCGGAUCGUAAAACCCUGUUGUUAGAGAAGAAAGUGCGUGAGAGUAACUGUUCACGUUUCGACGGUAUCUAACCAGAAAGCCACGGCUAACUACGUGCCAGCAGCCGCGGUAAUACGUAGGUGGCAAGCGUUAUCCGGAUUUAUUGGGCGUAAAGGGAACGCAGGCGGUCUUUUAAGUCUGAUGUGAAAGCCUUCGGCUUAACCGGAGUAGUGCAUUGGAAACUGGGAGACUUGAGUGCAGAAGAGGAGAGUGGAACUCCAUGUGUAGCGGUGAAAUGCGUAGAUAUAUGGAAGAACACCAGUGGCGAAAGCGGCUCUCUGGUCUGUAACUGACGCUGAGGUUCGAAAGCGUGGGUAGCAAACAGGAUUAGAUACCCUGGUAGUCCACGCCGUAAACGAUGAAUGCUAAGUGUUGGAGGGUUUCCGCCCUUCAGUGCUGCAGCUAACGCAAUAAGCAUUCCGCCUGGGGAGUACGA
rnacentral:rRNA from 1 species